rnacentral:lncRNA from 1 species
CUUGAUGAGCCUACCCUGGGUUAUCCCCCCAUCACUUGUCGUCCAUAAGAUAGCAUCAAACGCAAGAACCUACAAAAAGUGAUACACAAAAAGGUAAGAUGGCUGAUACUUGAUGGGCCUAUCACCAUUAGUACGUUGUGAGGCCUUCGAUUUGAUCGUACGGUAAUCAUACAUGCAAAAUGUGUACGGCCAAGCUCAAGGACUCACGGGAAGAUAUCACAACACAACUCUAGACACAAAUAAAAACAUACAAGCUUCAUAUUACAAGCCAGGGGCCUCGAGGGCUAGAAUACAGAGGCUCGAUAAACACAUGAGUCAGCGGAAGCAACAAAUAUCUGAGUUGCUCUGCAAACAAAAACGAUCACCGGAUCCUCGACCGGGAAGUAGGCGAUAUAGGAAUGAUCAAUGGGGGUUUUGCUUGCCUGGUUGCUCUGCAAACAAAAAACGGAUCCUCGACCGGGAAGUAGUCGAUCACCGGAUCAUCAUCGGUCUCACGGUCUAUCGGAAAGGAGUAACGACGGGGAAACACAAUAAAUAACAGAGCAAGCAAACACACCACAAAGCAUGACAAGGUAAUACACCGUGCUAGGGAUGACCAAAUGAAGUACUAAACGUUACAAACGAAGCAGGAAUAUAUCUCACAAUAUCUCCGAGGUCUUUGGCUAUUACCGAGCAAAUGAAAUGGAAGGAAAGUUCAUUGUUUAUCAUGCUAGGAGUAUGUGGCAAAUGAAUGGAUAGUGUAUUCGGAUUCAUGGAGUUUUUCUGAUCAACUUUCAUAUAUAAAAUAUCUUCAUGUUACUUCCAGUUUAAUUUCUAUUAUUUUUCAAAGUUUUUAAAGAUUUUUCUGAAUUUUUAUUAUUAUUAUUUAAAAAUAUUAAAUAAAACGUUAGGUACACUCGGUCUAGUGCACCCAACAUAAUAAUAGGGGCGGACAAGGGGGGCCAGUUGACUGGUCAAUCAACCAGUCAACACAAACUGAGUGGUGGGACCCUCCCGCUGAGUCGGCAACUUACUAGGUAGGCCCUAUCCACAAAAGAGUGGUAGGGCCCACCUGUCAUCUAGUGUGGGUCAAUUAGUAGUUAGUUCAAUUAAUUCAAGGGUAAUUAGCAGGUGGGGCAUGAUGUGAGUGGGUGUUAGAGGUUUUAAAUUAUGCUAAAACUAAUUGCUACAGUAAGGACCUAAUGUCAGUGGCUAUUAGCGCAUGGAUUAGGAGCUAAUGAAGGGGGGGCAUGCGUCAGUGACCCGCUGGCGUUUUGAACGUGGUGGCGUGCGGGCGACGCUCCGACGAGUACCAGAAACGACGACGAUGCUCGGGAAUGGUGCUCCGACCACCAUUACGAGCGUCGCGGCCAUCUACAAGAGGAGGAGGUCUGCGCGCGUCAAUCUUUUGUGUCGGCAGUGCCAAAGGGGUAGGGAACGGCAGGGCCGGCGAGGCCGAGCGACGACUGGAACUUGGUCUUGGCCAACACGCGGCGGGAGCGGCUCGAGGGCCUAGCUAGGUCUCGGGAUCGGCGCAGGAGGGGCUCUGGACCAUGUGUGUGGCAUGUGUGCAUGCUCAGGAGCACGCUUGGCUCGCAGGCGACGGCAACGGCGGCUGUCACAGCUCGGCAACGGCGACAGCUUGCUAGCAGGCCUACACAAGUGCAGAAGGAAGGGGACGGCAAGGAGCUGCUCAGAUCGUUACAGGGAAGGCCCGGUGAGGCGUGCACAGGUCGGAAUCAAGGGGAUCGGUCGGAGAUGUCCGUCGGGAUCGCGAAGGGGAAGUGCUCGGGGACGAUGUCACAGUGAUCCAUGGCUCGAAUUGGCGCGUGACGUAGACGAAGGGGAGGCCCACGGACACAGUUGUCCGCGAGUCCCACCACAGCACGGCCAUGGCACCGCUUGGUCGGGCGUGGAGGAGGAGUGAGCGAGGAGAGGGGGAAUGGGGUGUGCCUAGGGUUAGGGUUUGGCGAGGGGGGCAGGGUGCUCUUAACCUAGCUCCAGGUUCGCAGGAUGGUCGCCACGUGCAGCAUCUCGCGCACGAGCGGCCAUGGCGCCUCUCCUCCCUGCCCUGGGGAGAGGUUAGGGAAAAGGCUAGUCGUGGUGGGUUGGGCCUUCCUGUGCUGACACAAGGCCCAGGGGCACAGUGCCCCCUUAUCCCUUUUUUAUCUUUCUAAGCUAUUAUUAUUACUAUUUUAAUUAGAAAUCACAACCAAAUUGACUUUUUGUAAUUAUGCUACUUGGUCAAUUAUUAGCCUCGCAAUAUUGGCACAGCCACCAAAAAGUUUGAGGCAUUCUAAAAAGUGUUUGUAAAUUUACCUAAAUCAAAAAGAUAUUUAACAAUCGAUUUGGCCUCUGCUAAAUUGUUUUAGAGGCACCAAAACACUUUCUAAAAAGUUGGUCACAAUUUUAGCAGUGAUUAGAGAAUAGUUGCAACCCAUCCAUGAUUUUUGUUUUCAGGUUUGCAAAACUAUUUAAUCCACUUUUUAAAUGCAUUUUGAAAAUCAUUAGGGAAUUUAAAUGACUUAUGACUCCAAUGUGAUCAAGCAUGGUUUAGAAAAAAUGGAUUAGCUUAAUCCUCCUGGUUAUUGUAGCUUAAUUACGGGGGGUUACUCUAGCUUAAUCUAGGGAAGUCACAUCCGCAAUGGCGACUCACACAUAGGAGGAGCAGGGCGCCGACGAGGACGGCAAUGCAGGCCCCGACGAGGAUGGCUGGGCAACCAACCACCAGUGCAAGCACACUCCAUGUCCGCCGUCCACAAGCAAGGGAGACACUGGGCAGAUCUGGUGUCGGGUUCGCUGCCUUCAUCUUCUCACAGCAGCCUGCCGUUGCACUUCGCCUCUCGUCAACGAUGAAGGGGGUCGUGGGGAG